rnacentral:rRNA from 1 species
GUGCCUAACACAUGCAAGUCGAACGAGAAAGUGGUAGCAAUACCAUGAGUAAAGUGGCGCACGGGUGAGUAACACGUGACUAACCUACCCUUGAGUGGGGGAUAACUGAGGGAAACCUUAGCUAAUACCGCAUAAUACCUACGGGUCAAAGGAGCAAUUCGCUCGAGGAGGGGGUCGCGGCCGAUUAGUUAGUUGGCGGGGUAACGGCCCACCAAGACGAUGAUCGGUAUCCGGCCUGAGAGGGCGCACGGACACACUGGAACUGAAACACGGUCCAGACUCCUACGGGAGGCAGCAGUGGGGAAUUUUGCGCAAUGGGGGAAACCCUGACGCAGCAACGCCGCGUGGAGGAUGAAGUCCUUCGGGACGUAAACUCCUUUCGAUCGGGACGAUUAUGACGGUACCGGAAGAAGGAGCCCCGGCUAACUUCGUGCCAGCAGCCGCGGUAAUACGAGGGGGGCGAGCGUUGUUCGGAAUUAUUGGGCGUAAAGGGUGCGUAGGCG